AACGAGGUACAGUCCUGUUUAUAUGUGGCAUUUCAGUAAAGAAGUUCUGAGUAAACACCUUGCGUUGAAUACCGCUUCUCUGCCGAACCUUUUAUUUGUGCCUCAAGCAGUAAUGUAAAGUCUCAGUUUUAUCCAUGCUAGAGCCUUCGGGCAAAGAAAACUCUCUAAGGAAUUUUGCAAAUGGCAAAGAUCAAAGGUCAAGUUAAGUGGUUCAACGAAUCUAAAGGUUUUGGUUUCAUUACGCCUGCUGACGGCAGCAAAGAUGUGUUUGUACACUUCUCUGCAAUCCAGGGUAACGGCUUCAAAACUCUGGCUGAAGGCCAGAACGUUGAGUUCGAAAUUCAGGACGGCCAGAAAGGUCCGGCUGCUGUUAACGUAACUGCAAUCUGAAUUUAAUACCACUGAUCUUGUCGCGCGCAGCGCAUCACUAUCAGCUUUAAAGCCUCGCCAUAGCGGGGCUUUUUUAC
rnacentral:sRNA from 1 species